CAGGGAGACAGUCAGGAGUAGUUGAGACCCACAGAGGCAUGUGUUGUGCAUCGUAGUAGAUCUGUCUCCUGCUGCUAUCAGCUUCCAGAGAGCUAUCUGAAGACGUCCUGGGUUCCUGCAUCAAACACAACUACUAGCAUUUCUAUACAGGAGGGUAACAUGGACGAGGGCAGUGUGAGGAAGAGGAAGGACAUGUUUAAUGGAGGCCCCGGCCUAACCUCCAAUAUGUCUGCCUCCAAGCCUGCUGAGGAAGACGUGAAGGCUACCGUGCUACAGAAGGAUGUGGGCCUUUUGAGUGGGAU